GGUGUUACAUCAUAUCAAUAAUCCAUCUUUGAUAGUUAUCUGAAUACCAACACUAAAUGUUCAAAUGUUCACAAAUGUUCUUUGUGCACACUAUACAGUUCCAUAAGUUGUUCAGUUUCGUUUGUUUUUAUUCACAUUAUACAGUUCCACUCUUUGUCAAAGUUGUCCACCAUCGUCAUCAGCUGUCUUACUGUCACCAUUGCCAUCUUGGCUGUCACCAUCGUCGUCUAGCAGCUAUCCCAAUGGAACAAGUUGCUUUCCUGUCUUUAAGCUUACGUUGUUGUUGUUUUCUUGUUCACUGAUAACAAUUUAUUGACUUCUAAUCUCUCCUUCUCUCUGCUUUCCCUUGUACACAGAACUUGUAUUACAUCUUUGGAUCAGGAGGUUUCCCACAACUUGAAGGAGGAACUAAUAAACAUAAGGAGAAGUUCCUCGUUUAUCAUGAUGACUAAUU
rnacentral:lncRNA from 1 species